CCUACGGGUGGCAGCAGUGGGGAAUAUUGCGCAAUGGGCGAAAGCCUGACGCAGCGACGCCGCGUGAGGGAUGAAGGUCUUCGGAUCGUAAACCUCUGUCAGCAGGGAAGAACGGUCACUGUGCUAAUCAGCAGUGAAUUGACGGUACCUGCAAAGGAAGCACCGGCUAACUCCGUGCCAGCAGCCGCGGUAAUACGGAGGGUGCGAGCGUUAAUCGGAAUUACUGGGCGUAAAGGGCUCGUAGGCGGUAUGUCAAGUCAAGGGUGAAAUCCCCGCGCUCAACGUGGGAACUGCCUUUGAAACUGGCAGACUGGAGUGUGGGAGAGGAGAGUGGAAUUCCAGGUGUAGGGGUGAAAUCCGUAGAUAUCUGGAGGUACAUCAGUGGCGAAGGCGACUAUCUGGCACAUAACUGACGCUGAGGAGCGAAAGCGUGGGUAGCAAACAGGAUUAGAUACCCUAGUAGUC
rnacentral:rRNA from 1 species